rnacentral:lncRNA from 1 species
CUCCUUUCACAGCCCCGGAGUGGCCUGGCGGCCUUACAGAACCGAACCGUGGGUUUACGUAAGUGCACAUAUUUGCAUAGUUCCACACACCGUUUGCCAUUUUGUCGCAGACUCACCGAGCGAGCGGAAGCAGUUACCAGUUACGACGUGGCGUCCGAACUCCUCACUUCCCAGCUGGCGGCGCUGCGGCCUGGAGCCCGCGGGCGGGCGGGGAGGUCGUCAGGUGACGCUGACGAACCCCCUCGGUGGGAAGCCGCCUUCGAGGCCCGCAGGCCUGAGGCCUCCGCCACAAAGGGUGCGGAAGACCUUCCGUGGGUCUCAGGAAGUCUCGGUGGGCAAAGCAGACGUUAUCCGCAGGCGACUACGGCUUCCCUUCCAAGAGAUGGCCACGGCCACGGCCUAACGCUGGCCUCCUGACUGGACAGACUUUCGCUCAGCUAUUGAUCCCUGGUCCAAUCAACUACAACUCAUUCAACUCACAAACAUGGUGUAACUGACCAAAGCAACUUCAUCCCAAAAGCACUGCCCGGUACCCUUUCUCCAGAAGGGCCCUGUGGCCGUAGCAAGUGCUUCCAGGUGCCUGGAGCAACGCUGACCCUCAUACUCCUUGAGAAAAAGAUCCAGUGGUCAAAUAAAGUUGAAACAGUAAAAUAUUACCUCUUCCUG